rnacentral:RNase_P_RNA from 1 species
GCAGGUCACCCUAUCGUUCUGACUUUUGUCAGGAAGGAAAGUCCGGACACCAUAGCGCGGCAUAGCGGUUAACGACCGUCCGUUGAAAAACGAGGACCAGUGCAACAGAAAGAAUGUACAGGUAAUGCUGUAGUGAAAUCAGGUAAACUCUAUGCGGUGAAACGCCAUGUAAACCGGCACUCGAGGAUUGCGCAUCCGACGUCGGAGGGUAGGCGGCUAGAUCUUGUUAGUAAUAGCAAGGCCAGAUAAAUGAUAGGGACCCCUAACGGGGCACAGAAUCCGGCUUAUGACCUGCUUUU